UACGAGUGCCCCAAGCGUUAUCCGGAAUUACUGGGCGUAAAGGGUGUGCAGGCUGUUCUGUUAGUCCGUUGUUAAAGCCCAAGGCUCAACCUUGGAAGCGCAAUGGAAACGGCAGAACUAGAGGACGUAAGAGGUUGAGGGAACCCAUAGUGUAGGGGUGAAAUCCGUUGAUAUUAUGGGGAACACCGAAGGCGAAGGCACUCAACUGGUACGUUCCUGACGCUGAGACACGACAGCCAGGGUAGCGAACGGG
rnacentral:misc_RNA from 1 species